rnacentral:lncRNA from 1 species
AAUAAACGAUAGCUGCACUAAUAAAAAAAACUUAAUCCGUCUUUGCAGGGCUCUUCUGCGGCAAAUGGGGAACCCGCAGGUCCUCCAUGAAGAAAGGAGCACCAAUGUUGUUGAGAAUAGGCUAGCUAAGGAGGGAAAUAAGUUAGUUCAAGACUGUUUUUGUGAAGAAUGGAUAGUUCCACCAAUGUUUGUUUGGAUGCAGUUGGAAUCAGAUAUAAGGCGGAAACUGCACUUGUAGGGCAAUUUAUUAUGCCCAUAUCUAUGGAUGUUUGUAUUUGUAGUGUUAGGGAAGGACUUUCUCCGGCUAGCCUUGUGCCGACUAUGUGUACUAAAGACAUUAACUUUUAGUAGUAAUGAAUAAAUCUCCUUUCUUACCCCCCAAAAAAUAACAAAGGACAGAAAAAAAAAAAUAACUAGAGAGAAUAAA